AGAGCUUAAGUUGGAUACCUAGGCAUUCAGAAGCGAUGAAGGGCGUGACUACCGACGAAAUGUUUCGGGGAGCUGGAAGUAGGCUUUGAUCCGGAAGUACCCGAAUGAGGAAACUCUUAGUACUACAUAUCGAACACAUAAAUAUGUAAGAGCGAACCUGGUGAAUUGAAACAUCUCAGUAACCAGAGGAAAAGAAAGCAAUAGCGAUUCCCACAGUAGCGGCGAGCGAAAAGGGAACAGCCUAAACUACUUUUGUAGGGUCGUGGGACAAUAUAUAAUAGAUGAGUAAAAAUUAGGUGAAGUGUUUGGAAUAAUACACGAAACAAGGUGAUAGUCCUGUAACCAAAAAUUUAGACUCCUAGUAUUGUAUCCCGAGUAGCAUGGGACACGUGAAACCCCGUGUGAAUCUGCGAGGACCACCUCGUAAGGCUAAAUAUUCCUGAAUGACCGAUAGCGAACAAGUACCGCGAGGGAAAGGUGAAAAGAACCCCGGAAGGGGAGUGAAAAAGAACAUGAAAGCUUAAGCUUACAAGCAGUGGAAGAACGACUAAACGUUUAACCUCGUACCUGUUGAAGAAUGAGCCGGCGACUUGUAGGUAGUGGCAGGUUAAGGUAGAAAAUACCGGAGCCAGAGUGAAAGCGAGCUUUAAUAGAGCGUUUUGUCACUGUUUACAGACCCGAACCCGGAUGAUCUAACCAUGGCCAGCGUGAAGCUUAGGUAACACUAAGUGGAGGUGCGAACCGACUGAUGUUGAAAAAUCAGCGGAUGAGCUGUGGUUAGGGGUGAAAUGCCAAUCGAAUCCGGAGCUAGCUGGUUCUCCCCGAAAUGCGUUUAGGCGCAGCGAUUGAUGCUCCAACUUAGGGGUAAAGCACUGUUUCGGUGCGGGCUGCUAACGCGGUACCAAAUCGAUGCAAACUCUGAAUACUAAGUGUGUAGUCAAUCAGUAAGACUGUGGGGGAUAAGCUCCAUUGUCAAAAGGGAAACAGCCCAGACCACCAGUUAAGGCCCCUAAAUAAUUGCUAAGUGAUAAAGGAUGUGGGAAUGCUGAGACAAUCAGGAGGUUCGCCUAGAAGCAGCUAUCCUUUAAAGAGUGCGUAAUAGCUCACUGAUCAAGCGCACCUGCGCCGAAAAUGACUGGGACUAAGUAAUUUGCCGAAGCUGUGGGAUUUUAUAUCGGUAGGGGAGCGUUCUACAAUAGAUAGAAGCAUUAAUGAAAAUGGAUGUGGACAAAGUAGAAGUGAGAAUGUCGGCUUGAGUAGCGAAAACAUUGGUGAGAAUCCAAUGCCCCGAAAACCUAAGGAUUCCUCCGGAAGGCUCGUCCGCGGAGGGUAAGUCAGGACCUAAGGCGAGGCCGAAAGGCGUAGCUAAUGGACAACGGGUUAAUAUUCCCGUACUAUGUAUUGUUGAUAACGAGGGACGGAGAAGGCUAAAUCAGCUGGAUGUUGGUUACCAGUUUAAGCAUUCAAGGUGUUGAUGAGCAGAGAAAAUGCUCUGAGCUAAAGUGUUACGACGAAGUACUAAGGUACUGAAGUGAUUGAUGUCAUGCUUCCAAGAAAAGCUCGAAUUAUCUUAAACAAUAUAUACCUGUACCACAAACCGACACAGGUGGGUAAGUAGAAUAUACUAAGGGGCGCGAGAUAACUCUCUCUAAGGAACUCGGCAAAAUUACCUCGUAACUUUGGAAGAAGAGGUACCCUUGAAAAAGGGUUGCAAUGAAUAGACCCUGGCGACUGUUUACCAAAAACACAGGUCUCCGCGAAUUCGUAAGAAUAAGUAUGGGGGCUGACGCCUGCCCAGUGCCGGAAGGUUAAAGAAGUUGGUCAAUCCUCGGAUGAAGCUAGCGACUGAAGCCCCGGUGAACGGCGGCCGUAACUAUAACGGUCCUAAGGUAGCGAAAUUCCUUGUCGGGUAAGUUCCGACCCGCACGAAAGGCGUAACGAUCAGGGUGCUGUCUCGGAGAGAGACUCGGCGAAAUAGAAUUGUCUGUGAAGAUGCGGACUACCUGCACCUGGACAGAAAGACCCUAUGAAGCUUUACUGUAUCUUGGAAUUGGGUUUGGUCUUUACUUGCGCAGGAUAGGUGGGAGGCAGUGAAAAUAGUCUUGCGGGACUAUUAGAGCCAACGGUGAGAUACCACUCUAGUAAAGAUAAAAUUCUAACUCUAUACCGUUAUCCGGAUAGAGAACAGUUUCAAGUGGGCAGUUUGACUGGGGCGGUCGCCUCCUAAAAGGUAACGGAGGCGUGCAAAGGUUCCCUCAGGCUGGUUGGACAUCAGUCGAAGAGUGUAAAGGCAUAAGGGAGCUUGACUGCGAGACCCACAAGUCGAGCAGAGACGAAAGUCGGCCUUAGUGAUCCGACGGUUCCGAGUGGAAGGGCCGUCGCUCAACGGAUAAAAGUUACUCUAGGGAUAACAGGCUGAUCUCCCCCAAGAGUUCACAUCGACGGGGAGGUUUGGCACCUCGAUGUCGGCUCAUCGCAUCCUGGGGCGGUAGUACGUCCCAAGGGUUGGGCUGUUCGCCCAUGAAAGCGGUACGCGAGCUGGGUUCAGAACGUCGUGAGACAGUUCGGUCCAUAUCCGGUGCAGGCGUUAGAGUAUUGAGAGGUGUCCCCCUUAGUACGAGAGGACCGGGGGGAAUACACCGCUGGUGUACCAGUUAUCGUGCCAACGGUAAACGCUGGGUAGCCAAGUGUAGACGGGAUAACUGCUGAAAGCAUCUAAGUAGGAAGCCCUCCUCAAGAUGAGUACUCUCACCGCUUUAAGCGGGUAAGAUCACGACAAGAACAGUCGUUUGAUAGGCGUUAGGUGUAAGUGCAGUAAUGUAUUUAGCUAAGACGUACUAAUAGAUCGAGGGCUUGAUUUACAAUAUACCAUUUACAGUUUUAAAGACUUGAAAUCUUGGUGCUUAUAGCGCAAUGGAACCACUCCGAUCCAUCUCGAACUCGGUUGU
rnacentral:rRNA from 1 species